CGUAUGACUGGUUUGGUGCACAAGAGCUUUGCCGAAAUUCAAGCAAACGUUUAAUUACUGAUGCAUCGGAUUCAUUAAACUUUAUCUGGACCGGAAAACACAAAAGAUUUUCUCAAUGGAUAAAAAUAUUAGGGUGCUACAAAGAGUCCAAUGUACCUGGAAAUUCUUUUUUCAACAUGACCGAUUACCCAUCAAUAGGAUUAUGCCAAGAACAUUGUUUAAGACUACACAAUAGUGUUUACGCUGUAAAGGCCAGUGAAUGUCGAUGUCUCCAGAAUGAUUUUAAAGCUAUUCCACUCCCGCUGAAUGAAUGCAAUAUAGCUUGUUCAAAUAAAGAGGAUGAUAUUUUGUCUACUGAAUGUGGAGGAGAAAAAGCUUUUAGUGUGUUUUCAACUG